rnacentral:rRNA from 1 species
GUGAACCAGUACCGUGAGGGAAAGGCGAAAAGAACCCCGGCGAGGGGAGUGAAAAAGAACCUGAAACCGUGUACGUACAAGCAGUGGGAGCACAGGUUUACCUGUGUGACUGCGUACCUUUUGUAUAAUGGGUCAGCGACUUAUAUUCUGUAGCAAGGUUAACCGUAUAGGGGAGCCGCAGGGAAACCGAGUCUUAACCGGGCGUUAAGUUGCAGGGUAUAGACCCGAAACCCGGUGAUCUAGCCAUGGGCAGGUUGAAGGUUGGGUAACACUAACUGGAGGACCGAACCGACUAAUGUUGAAAAAUUAGCGGAUGACCUGUGGCUGGGGGUGAA